rnacentral:lncRNA from 1 species
CAGUUCAGUCAUGUGGCCAGUGAGUGAAUCAAUCAGUGCCUAUAUAAUGAAGCCUCAAAAAAUACUCUGGACACUGAGGCUUGGGGUGCUGCCUGGUUGGUGAACAUAUGGGUGUGCUGGAAGGGUGAUGUGUCCUGAGUCCGUGGGGAGAGGGCAUGGAAGCUCUGCAUGCAGCCCCUCCCAGACCUGACCCUAUGUAUCUCUCUCUUUCUGUAUUUUUUAAUUAUUUUUUUUAGGUUUUUAUUUUUUCUAUUAUGGUUGCUUUCCUAUGUAUCUCUUCAUUCAGCUGGUCCUGAUUUGUAUCCUUUAUAAUAAAACCUUAAUCAAAAGUAUCAUACUCUCCUGACUUCUCUAAGUCAUUCUAGCAAAUGAUCAAACCUAGAGGGGUAGUAGGAACUCCUGAAAUUGGCAGCCAGUUGAUCAGAAGUGCAGGUAGUCUGGGGACCCCCAAACUUGUAGCUGGUGCCUGAAGUGAAGGCAGUUUUAUUAGGGGUUUCCCUUAAACCUACAGGGGCUCAUGCUAACAAUAAGAUCAGAAUUGAAUUGUAGUAUGGCAGCAACCAAGGUGAGAACUGCUAUUCUAGGAAAUGGUGGUUCAGAGCAUUAAGCAAGUGCCAGAAUCAAGCCAUCCAUCCAGUCAAGGCAGGGGCACUAUCAGGAUCCAGCUAGGAUGGGAAUGUAAGCAUGGGAGGAAGUCAAGGGCAGGCAGUAAUGAGAUACGAGGGGAUGGCUUUAAAGUCCCAUAUGGGAAUGAAAGUAGAAUGUAUGAAUCAGACAAAAGGUGAGCCUUACAAAGUGCCCAUAUACUGUGGAAUACUAUAGCUGUGUGCUCCAACAAAUGAGCUCCAUUGUCCCCAGGGGGAGGGGGCUUUAGUACAAAGCCACAGGUUCUUUCCAGCAUCACUACCACUAAAAGUUAUUAACUGGAACUUUAUGACUCAGGUGGAACUGAACCAGCUGGUGCUAGAGUUAUUGCUAGGGCUGGAUGAUUCUGGAAUCUGUAAGUACAAGAUUUAAAUAAUUUAGGAGUUCUGUGCUGGCUCGACGGUAACGAAUCUGACUAGCAUCCUUGAGGACAUAGGUUGGAUCCCUGGCCACACUUGGUGGGUUAAGAAUCCAGUGUUGCUGUGAGCUAUAGUGUAGGUCGCAGACGUGGCUUGGAUCUGGCAUUGCUAUAUCUGUGGUGCAGGCCAACAGCUACAGCUCAGAUUCGACCCCUAGCCUGGGAACUUCCAUAUGCCAUGGGUGCGGCCCUGAAAAGACAAAGAAAAAAAAUAAUAAAGAUUUAAAUAAUUUAGAUCCUUCCCCUAAGUGGCUUCAAAAAAUAUGCUGGAGUUCCUGUUGUGGCUCAGCAGUAAUGAAUCCGACUAGUUUCCGUGAGGAUGUAGGUUUGAUAUCCCUGGCCUCACUCAGCAGGUUAAAAAACUGGCAUUGCCAUGAGCUGUGGUGUAGGUCACAGAUACAACUCCAGUUUGACCCCUAGCCUGGGAACUCCCAUGUGCUUCAGGUAUGGCCCUAAAAAGAAAAAAAUGCUGAACAUACAAUAAUUUCAGUAUGUCAUGGUAUUUUGUAUUUCUUGCUAUUGGAGUCCAAAUGAGAAGCUCUUGUCAAGGUAGGAUUGACACUGAGAAAAGUGACCAGACUGGCUGACUUCCAAAGGCUCUCAGAUGGUGGCAUUUAUCUUGAUGAAUUGACCACACUCUCAGCUUUCGAGGUGCGUAAUUUCCAUCUCGCCACCACUCUAGAGUUGCUUCAACUUGAACAAGCUAACUCACACUGCAUACACAUCAGCAAUCUAAA